AACGAACGCUGGCGGCAUGCCUAACACAUGCAAGUCGAACGAGACCUUCGGGUCUAGUGGCGCACGGGUGCGUAACGCGUGGGAACCUGCCCUUAGGUUCGGAAUAACUCCCCGAAAGGGGUGCUAAUACCGGAUAAUGUCUUCGGACCAAAGAUUUAUCGCCUUUGGAUGGGCCCGCGUUGGAUUAGCUAGUUGGUAGGGUAAAAGCCUACCAAGGCGACGAUCCAUAGCUGGUCUGAGAGGAUGAUCAGCCACACUGGGACUGAGACACGGCCCAGACUCCUACGGGAGGCAGCAGUGGGGAAUAUUAGACAAUGGGCGAAGGCCUGAUCCAGCAAUGCCGCGUGAGUGAUGAAGGCCUUAGGGUUGUAAAGCUCUUUUACCCGGGAUGAUAAUGACAGUACCGGGAGAAUAAGCUCCGGCUAACUCCGUG
rnacentral:rRNA from 1 species